rnacentral:lncRNA from 1 species
CUCUGGCCUUUGGUAGUGUUGUAUGUUAAUUAAUUAAUGUUUGUUUAUUUAUUUGUUUAGGAAAUAAGUAUGACGUACAUUUUCACUGAACUAGGACACUUUUUAUAAUAGUUUUUCGAUAUCGCUCGGGCAAAAAUAAUCACGAAUAUAAUGCCUACCCAUGCAUUGAAAAAAACGGGUAUAAACUACACAGUGCAGCUUCCAACAAGAAUACAAGAUUUAUUGAUUUUCAAAAUGCGACCAAAAUUAAAAAUUUGCUCGCAGCGGAAAAAAUUC